rnacentral:piRNA from 1 species
UCCUUCUCGGUGCAGGUCCACAUCUGGG